UUCGGCUCUGAGCGCUCAGCUCGCCAAACUGCCGAUGGGCCUGAAGCAGCUGAACCUCUCCAGGACCUCCACGUCUCCUAAAGGUGUGAACAGCCUCUGUCAGGCUCUCUGUAACAACCCGGUCGUGGCCUCCACGCUCACACACCUCGACCUGUCGGGGAACUCGCUCAGAGGCGACGACCUGCCGAACCUGCACAGCUUCCUGAGUCACCCG